rnacentral:rRNA from 1 species
GACGAACGCUGGCGGCGUGCUUAACACAUGCAAGUCGAACGGAAAGGCCCUGCUUUUGUGGGGUGCUCGAGUGGCGAACGGGUGAGUAACACGUGAGUAACCUGCCCUUGACUUUGGGAUAACUUCAGGAAACUGGGGCUAAUACCGGAUAGGAGCCCCUGCUGCAUGGUGGGGGUUGGAAAGUUUCGGCGGUUGGGGAUGGACUCGCGGCUUAUCAGCUUGUUGGUGGGGUAUUGGCUUACCAAGGCUUUGACGGGUAGCCGGCCUGAGAGGGUGACCGGCCACAUUGGGACUGAGAUACGGCCCAGACUCCUACGGGAGGCAGCAGUGGGGAAUAUUGCACAAUGGGCGGAAGCCUGAUGCAGCAACGCCGCGUGCGGGAUGACGGCCUUCGGGUUGUAAACCGCUUUCGCCUGUGACGAAGCGUGAGUGACGGUAAUGGGUAAAGAAGCACCGGCUAACUACGUG